CAUAAAAUAGUUGAUGUCAGUGUUAAGUUUUGCUUUCAGAGUAGGUAAUAUUGUUGCAGAGGAAGCCGUUGUUUGUUGAGUUAUGCAUACGGAGGCCCAACCAAGGACAUUAAAAGGCCUUAUUUGUUGAUUAGAUCGAAACCUACGAGGAAGCCCUUGUUUGUUGAUUCCCUGUCAGCUUUGCAAGCCACGUGAGAGGGGGAGUGUUAUUUGUUGCAGAGAGCAACAUCAAGAUAUGGCAUGGCAAAAUGGCAAAAAACUCUAUAUGGAAUAGAGCAAUUAGCAAAGCUUAUAACAGAGGAUAAAUGAUGGGUGAUACCUGGCUUGGUGGAUAUUGUAUUUGUCAUAGCAUGCUCACAUAAGUAGUCCUGUAAAUGAGCAGAUAUCUUCCUUGUUCUAGUGGAGUGCCUUAUUUGGUUAUUAUGAGUUAAGGAUGAGGAAUUAGAACUUGUAUUGUGUCCAGUUUGACUUCUAUCACCAUUCUGUGUGCUUGAUAUUUCAUCAUCAUGUUCAGAAUUGCUCAUAGUAUCAUGUGUAGGAUUCAGCUUGCAUAUAGGGUUGUGUAGAUUCAUAGUGUCAUCACUGAAAGGAAAAUAGCUUUCGUAGAAAAU
rnacentral:lncRNA from 1 species